rnacentral:rRNA from 1 species
GUCCUACGGGACGCAGCAGUGGGGAAUAUUGCACAAUGGGGGAAACCCUGAUGCAGCGACGCCGCGUGAGUGAAGAAGUAUUUCGGUAUGUAAAGCUCUGUCAGCAGGGAAGAAAAUGACGGUACCUGACCAAGAAGCCCCGGCUAACUACGUGCCAGCAGCCGCGGUAAUACGUAGGGGGCAAGCGUUAUCCGGAUUUACUGGGUGUAAAGGGAGCGUAGGCGGGCUGCCAAGUCAGCGGUAAAAUUGCGGGGCUCAACCCCGUCGAGCCGUUGAAACUGGCGGUCUUGAGUGGGCG